AAUAAAAGCUAAAAAGGGAAAGUAAUCAAACGCUGCUGUCCAAGAACAUUUCUCCAUUCAGAAUGCUCAUCUAUGCUCCUCCGAAAUGGCCCCAAAUUCUUUAAAUUGUUGUUGAACCAGUAUUGUUGAGCUUGAGUGAAUUCAAUAAAUACACUUAACAUCUCACAAGUGCCAUGGAAUCAAUCUCCUUAAAGACUUCUUCAGCUCAAAAUGGGUCCCAACAGCAGAUCUAGGAGCUUGUAGCCUCGACCCAGCAAUCUUCGUCAAGAAUCACCCUUGGUGAUAAAUCCUCUUGAAUCUUUCCUUCUACGCAGAAUGAGCUCCGAAGAACUGAUACCACUGUGAAGAGAUCCAUCUCCAAGAGAUAUAGGUGUUCAUGAUUAUCAACAGGCGCUUCGUUGAGAUCACUCUAUACUCCAGUUAGUUUUGUCAGCCAGGAUGAGGGUUCGCUUGAAAACCAGCAAUAGUUCUUGAGUGUCGGUCACGUCCAGGGUAUAGGCUCGAAUCGUGACAGCUAUAGUCAGGUUUGAGAGGGGUGCAUAAGGGCAGGUCUUAUCAAAUUUUCACCAAAUUCAACGAUAAAGACCAAGAACAAGUCAAUGUACUUCAAAAAGGAAAGCUCAGGUUCUUAAGAGCAUUCAGGCUUGAUUCGAGGUACCACGCCGGUAUAGAAAUACUAACAGUUGGCUUGGAUAUCACGUCUGAUAUAAAUACUACCCCUGAUUGGCUCGGAUACCACGCUGAUACACUAAUAAUUUGUGUGUGGAUUCUGUGAGAGAACCGAGUAUGUGUAGUUAUGAUUCCAUGAGUGGACCGGGUAUUUGUAAUUGUGAUCAUGUGGGACAUGUUUCAAGUAUUGGUUGAUUCAGGAUAUUGUGAUUAGGAGCCUAUGUAUUUGUGAUUGUUUUAUAUGUGUUGUCAAGUGUUUAUUGUGUUGUGGCUA